GAUGAACGCUGGCGGCGUGCCUAAUACAUGCAAGUCGAGCGAACAGACGAGGAGCUUGCUCCUCUGACGUUAGCGGCGGACGGGUGAGUAACACGUGGAUAACCUACCUAUAAGACUGGGAUAACUUCGGGAAACCGGAGCUAAUACCGGAUAAUAUAUUGAACCGCAUGGUUCAAUAGUGAAAGACGGUUUUGCUGUCACUUAUAGAUGGAUCCGCGCCGCAUUAGCUAGUUGGUAAGGUAACGGCUUACCAAGGCAACGAUGCGUAGCCGACCUGAGCGGGUGAUCGGCCACACUGGAACUGAGACACGGUCCAGACUCCUACGGGAGGCAGCAGUAGGGAAUCUUCCGCAAUGGGCGAAAGCCUGACGGAGCAACGCCGCGUGAGUGAUAAAGGUCUUCGGGUCGUAAAACUCUGUUAUUAGGGAAGAACAAAUGUGUAAGUAACUAUGCACGUCUUGACGGUACCUAAUCAGAAAGCCACGGCUAACUACGUG
rnacentral:rRNA from 1 species